AUGCUCAAUUGGGGAAGAAAGGCUGCGCUCCAUGCUAGGGUUCCGGCGGGCAAGCUGCUAGAUCGGAGCGCCCGUUUCUCGUCAGGCUCCAAGCUGUUCGUCGGGGGCCUGUCCCAUGACACCAAUGAAGUUGCUCUCAAGGAUGCGUUCUCUCAGCAUGGCGAUGUUAUCCAAGUCAAAGUGAUAUGCCAUCCCGUGACCGGGCAAUCAAAAGGAUACGGUUUCGUCAAGUUCUCCUCGGAAAAAGACGCAGCUGCGGCAUUGGAGAAGAUGAGCGAUGAGGUGCUUGAUGGGAAGAACAUACGGGUGCAUUUUGCAAACAGUGGAUGA
rnacentral:rRNA from 1 species